GGGAGAUCAUUCUGUGCCCAGCCUUCUCCUUCUGACUUCACGCAGCAUGAUACUCUCCACCUCCUCUGCAUCGUAUAGUGCUGGAAUUGAACACAGUAUCUCACAUGUAUGAAGCCGACUUUCUACCACUGAACACAUUCCCAUUCCUGGUGAACCCCUGAAAACAAAGCCACAAGUCAGUGAGGCAAGACACGCUAUGGAAUCAGUCGUGAGUGCCUGUGGUGCUUCGUGAGUGAACAAACUGCCUUAGAAAGCCUGUGUUGUUUGCGCACCCGCCCGGUUCUGUGCUCAGACAGAGAGUCUCUUGCCCGCACACCUGGCUGGCUUCCCCGGGCCCCUCGGAGGGGAUGGGCUCCAGCUUCCCUUCCCACCCCGAGCAGAGCUCCCAAUGGCCAAAGACCACUGGAACCUAGCCACAGCCAUGCUCAAGACCCCUCUCCACACGUUCGGACAAGCCUCACGCAUGAAGGUACCAGCAGAGGAACCCAGGUGUGUGUAAUCCCAUCAACGGCCAACAUCCAGAGACUUAAAAGCAAGCUUCCAGAAGCGAGUGGCCAAAAAGCGGCCGCACAAUAUUUUAUAACCUACUUUCCCCUCUGGGAGAAAAUAGCAAGCUACUGAGAGUUUCCUGCCCACCAGCGUCAGCCUCGCAAGCUUCCCAUGGUGUAUCCAUAUGCCAAAGCCAGUAACCAGCUGAAUCUCAUUCCCCUGACCCUGAAAGAGCCUCCAAUGCGGCAUCGUUGGGAAGGCCAAGAAGAGAGAGGCUUCUAAAAUCUCAGGGAUAGGACGA